rnacentral:lncRNA from 1 species
GGCCCCUUAUUCCUAAACUGUUGGGACCAAAACUCCCAAAAUCCCAACCGUUCUUUUAUGGUCAUAAACCUUGUGUUUAAAUUUCAUAGAUUUCUAUUUACUUAUACUUAAGUUAUGGUGCGAAAACCAAGAAUAAUGCUUAUUUGGACCCCUUUUUGGCCCCUAAUUCCUAAACUGUUGGGACCUCAACUCCCAAAAUCAAUCCGAAC